UUUUUUUUUCCCUACAGGCCCAGUCCUUCUCUUUCCUCUGUUACGGAUCUCUCUCCUGGGGAACCUUCCGCCCUGUCUUUUUAUCCUAUCCCGACGGGGGCAUAGCUAGCUUCUUUUUGGUUAGCGGAGGGAUGGCUAUUCAAGGAUUCGAAGCUUUAUCUGGUUUCUACCCGCAGGCUGAUUCCGUUGAGUCAACAUCCCCGGUACCCUUGAGUGAAUGACCUAACCAACGGGUAGAUGGAUAGGAGGGUUGGUCCACGACCCCUCGAUGCAUUCCAGAAUCCGUUACUGGAUAGCCCCCCUGAAUUCCAUCCAGCCUCCUCAUCCCAUCCCUCCCGAGGCCCACACGCACGGGCCCCGAAACCGUAUUAGAUUCUAGUCUUCCACCCACCCCGGGCAAUGACUGUUCACAUGAUGCACAUUUCUUAAAGAAUGGUGAUUAGGAAAGGAAGAUCACUUAAUGAAAGGAAAGAUCAAUCCGGGAGGGUGCACAGAGGAGAGGUUAAUGGUUGAAGGCUGGGCCAAUGGCCAAUAAAGAAAAAAAAGGUGGGCAAGGAAGGCUCAACUAGCUAGAUCCUAAGAUCUCGAUCCACAGCUUAGUAAUCCGCAGACGCUUCAUACGAAGCCGAAUCCGCUGAAUCAGGGGAAUCCACCGAUCCAGGUAGGUGAGUUGGUAUAUAACCAAAGUAAGAGCAGAAGGAAAACUCAACCAGAAGACCUGCUAACCCAAGCGCCCACGAAGAGAGAUUUCGAAUAUUGAACUAAGUAGGUAGUAGGCCUUUGUUGUAAAAGCCUUUGAAUAUCUUCCAUCUUCUCCUUGGCAAGAGCAGUCCUACUUGAAAAAUCUGAAAAAUGGUCCUUAUUUAGUUUUGUUUUCUGAGAGCCACCUUCACUUUAGAUUUUGCAAUUUGGAGCAUAAUUGGAACAUGGGGGGAACCUUCUACCUCUUCUUGCCAAAUCUUUUCCACCAACGGUAAAAAUUCAGGAUGAUCGACCCAAAAAUCAAAGAAAAAGAACUUGAAUGCUUUCUUUGCUCUGGGAAGGUCAGCCAGCUCAGCCUGGGAAAUAGUAUCCUCCAAGCUGCUCAUCCAACUAGGCCAAUCCUGUGAGCCUCCAGCCCUCUCAUUCAUUCUUCUAACCGCAUUGAAGUCACCCACAACCAACCACGGUCUACCACUAAUUCCAGAAGCAAACGAGACCAGAUUAUCCCACUUUGUUUCCCUUUUCCUAUAGCAAUUAUCUCCAUAUACUAUAGAAAGCGUACAACACCAGGGGUUAGACAAAUCUCUCACCAAGCAAUGAAUAACCUGUUCCUCCUGAUCAAGCACAGACACAUCCAGCCUAGAAGGAUUCCAACAAACCCAUAUUCUCCCCCUUGGGGAAAGAUUCUAGUUCCAACUAGCAUGCCAUCCCGGGGCUAUAGCUCUCAAAACUCUGUCUUUAUUCACUUCCUUUAUUUUCGUCUCAAUUAACGCAACAAAAGAAAGCUUGUGCUCUAGAAUCAAUUUCCUCACUUCAUUUUGCUUCAUAGGGUCGUUAAGACCCCUAAUAUUCCACACACCAAGAAAGAUGGGGACAAAGGGUAGAACAAAACUAGAGCACGAAUCCCAGGGGGAGUAACUCCCUUAGACACUUUCUGGGGGUUGCCCUUCUUGUCCAGGGAAUCUUUGCCCCUUACACCUAAGGAGUUCAACUCAGGAGAGGCUGUGGACGGGUCUGAGCAACCUGGACUGAUUGAGCUAGAAGGCUUAACGGGGGUUGACGGCGUGCCGAUAGCCAGGUCUGCGGGUCGCUGCAUCCGAUAGGAAGAGCUUCAUAGAACCUGAAAACUAUUUAGGCAACUUUAGAUGCAUUCUCUCAAUUCUCAAUUUCUCGGUCGAAGGUAGUACUCUGAACUUGCUGAUCUCUCGGGCAAUGAAUAUACUUGCGGGGUUAUAUCCCAUACGAAGAAGACCAAAAUGGGUCGGGCAACCCCCAAUCUUGAUGAGUCGAAAUUUCGUUUUUUGGCCAGUAACGAGUUCUAGGCUUUAGGCCAGUUCAAGAAAGAAGGUUGGGCUAAAGCCCCUUCCUCGUCCACUUGGUGGGGUGAGUAAACUGAGUCUACUGAUAUAAGAAGUAGACUUCGUUCCACCGGUUCUUCAGUCUUGUUACGAUUCACCGAAAGCACAAAUGUGAUCACGUAUCUAAUGUCCAUUGACCCACCUUCCGGAUAUAUGAGGCUACCGGAACCAAACCAUGAUUCCUUUACACCUGGGGCUACUGAGAGAGAGAAAUCUCCGAACCAGACCCAGGACCUCUUCUUCACCGGGAUAUGAGCUAAACUUCAACGACAGGACGUGGGCUAAUCAAAAAACUCAUUUGAUUUCGAGAAGGUCAAAGACAUGAGAAGAAUAAGCAAUCAAAGAGGUACGGUCAAAUCAAUGCUUUCAAUCAGCUUUAACCAAUUCUUUGAUUGCUCAGUCGAAAGAUGAAGGGGUAUCCGCAGGUCUCGUAGAUAUGCUUGGAUGGGACUCCUCUGAGUCCCCAGUGGAGACAGUCUAGACAAAAAGAAAGAGUAUACAUUUUUUUAGCAGGAGAAGCGAUGUCUGGCACAAGUUCCUGCUCCCCUUGAAUCUUAAUAUAAUAGGUAUGGUGGGCUGGGCUCUUCUAUCUCUUACUCGACCUAGCUUUCUCUCCAUAUAAAUUCGUAGCAGUCUUCUUAGUACUUCUCUUCUUAACAGUCGACCCUCUCUCUAUUCCUUCUCAUAAGUAACUUCCAGAUAAUAACUAAGAAGCGCGCCCGAGCCCAAAUUACACGAGAUGUUCUUAUCCGAGAUUUCACUCCUGAAACCACGAAGAAAGCGUAUUUAAGUAACUAACCUAACCUACGCGGGCAAUCUUCUCUUCUUCUCAUACCCAAUGAAGCUUCUUUCUUCUGACGUUCAGUCCUACCUCAAAUGGAGAAGCCCUAUUCUCAAGCAAGUAGCAGUGCUCACUUUCCCAAUAAGGAAAAAAUAAGCACAGAAACUCCAGACUGACCUAAAAAUCCUUCCGAGACCGGUCGAGCUGGUCUAUCUUUUCUCUUUAUUUGCCUCUGCCUUGAGACUCUCUCUGUUUGGAACAGUGUGUGAGCCCUGACAAUUGACCUGACAUUUUAGGUGCACCUUUACGCGAGGCAAAUCGAAACCUCCAUAGUGUUAGUGAUUCUUCAUUCAUGUAGGGCCCCUUUCUCUUCUUAGCCUCUUUCUUUAGCCAUCCUGACCGACCCCCUAAACGAGGAGUAAGCGUUGAAGGGGUCUACUGACUUCAAAAUCUUUUAAAAGCAAAAAAGGUCUAUCAGACUCACACUGCUCGAGUCUAGUAGACUCUGAUCGGGGCUACCUUACUAUAGGAAUUCCGCAGAUAUAGACUAAAAUAAAAUCAAGACAGCUUCCUAUCUCGAAUCCAAAGAACAAACAGGCUGGUGUGUGUCAAUACGAAAACGAAUCUUCUGUCCAGUCCAUGAAAGGUAUCUCGUUUGUAUGUGCCUCCCUCUCAAAACAAAAGAAGUGAACCAAAAGAAAAAAUAAAAAACUGUAUACGCAACGGCGGCUUAGUUGCUACCGUACCGCUCAUCAGUCUCAAUCCCUAUCCCGGAGAGUAAAGGCGUUCAUUUGACUUUCAAAAUGGAAAGAAGCACUAUGUCACUGACGUUUCAUACACAGAAAGCUUUCUCUUUAUUAUUAUAUAAAGCAAUACCGACGAGCAAGGUAGCUUAUUGAAUGCCGACUACUACGAGAGGUAUAGCUUACUCACUCACAUAUCGACCGGCAUAUGAGCACUUUAUUUAAAUUGAGUAAUUUAGGUCCAAGAUUGAUCAAUCUCAAUGGGAAAAGCACGAGAUUUCAUUUUUUUAUCCAAAAGAUGUAGAUCUCUUAAGCCUACCGUCUAGGUAAGAUGCCAGCUUUCCUAUCUCUUAAAGCUAUUCCUUAGAUACAGAACCACUUCAAAUCAAAACAAAACGGGGGGCUUAAACUUUCUCAUAAAAACAAGGCGAUUUGAGAGUCCGGUCAAGCGUAAAUUCAAUGUAAAAAAGGUUUCAAGGAGAAUAGGGCACAGAGAGACCUAACCCCUUUCCGACGAGAUAGGCCUUUAAACUACAGAGUUCAAUGAAGAAAUGGAAUGAGCUAGCGGUUAAAGGUCAACUGAGACCCGGAAACUCGCGUAGGUCCACAUAUAUGAGUCUACUCCGGCAGUUCUUAUAACUUAGAACCGAGACAGGCUAUCCGUUAGCGCGGGUUGGAGCAUUCUAUUCUUCUGGUUACUAUAAUUACUAAGCUACUCCUCUUUUACCAGAUAGAGAAAGGGCCUCGACUUACCCUGUCAGUGAGAACAGGUACGCCUUUUCCUACAGCACUGACGUCCGGGGAAAAGCCGGUAUGGGAGCUAGUCUCAAAAGCAGGAGUUGUAGCCUUUCAAGAUUAUGAGAACGGGAUCCAACCCUGUUAGGGUUUCAAGCUUUAGGCCUGGUGCUUAGGCUGUCAGGCAGGCGGAAUUCAUACUUUUUGAAUUGAGAGAGGGGUUCAGAGAAAGACUCGUUGGAAGCUUCCAGUCUCACCACACCACCAUCUUUUUCAUUUCAAACUUGCAUAGCAACAGGGGCGAUCAGUUGAAUCUGAUCGGUAGGGGCUGCAUAUCGCUGUUCGCCUGGUCGGUACUAUCCGUUCCUUUUAGUGUCCCCCACCGCAACCCCAUUACUCGAUCAGGGUAUCUAAGCCACUGCUCUAUUCCCGACUCGAAAUCCAUAAAGGACUUUAAGGGAGAACUGUUCUCUCUAUCUCAGGUGCUUUCCCUACUACCGGCACAAGAGGGACUUUUUCUCUAAAGCCUACUUCCUCUCUCUGAUCUCCAAACCCAUUUUUCUCUCUAAAGAUUUUUGCUGAGGAGGUGUUCAUGAUAAUCCCCUCAUCAGGUUUCUCGGAGGCUUCUACCCCGGCCUGAAAUCACUCCACUUCCAUCUCCGAGAAGUGUAUCCGAUGAAUUUCUUCCUAAAACGGUGUCUGUUAUGGUCGCAGCAGCUGAUGCUGCCUCCACAUCAAACUUUGUUCCUCCACCUGCUAACAACACUAUACUAUAUAGGAAGAGCCGGCACAACUUCAGUUUCUUUUUCUUCCAACCAAUGCUUGCCAUGGCCAGUGCUUCCUUGUUCUUAUCUCCGUAGAAAGCGAAAAGAGACAAGGGAUUUCCUAUAGUAAAAAAAUAUGGGUUCGCCUGUUCAUUCAAUACCAUAAUAAAAACUAGUAGAGCCAGGGGAUAGUGACCAGUGACGAGUGACCAUAGGGCUUUGGUAACCGGAGGAGUAGUUGCCUAGUAGCCAGCUGACUUACGAGUACCAGCAACACUGACGGUUACGCUUUCUUAUACCGAUUCCUAUUUCUAACAAGCUCUGCUAUUCCUAUGAAUAGCCUGCUCCAAACCUGAGCUGAGUUGACCCAGAGGAACCCCUGAAUAAUAUCAUCAAUCACCUUCCACCAGAAGUCACCUAUAACAUCGUCCAGGAAAGGCUCCUCGCCUACAAUGCCCAUGAGGAAGAAUAACUAACUAUUUUUCAUAUGCCUUUGAUAUAAGAAAAAAGACUCUGAGCUUAGGCUCAAAACAAAGAAAGUCGGGUAGAGGUCCUUUCAAGGAAAUGGGAUUCGUAUUAUUAACCUUAACCUAAGGUUACCGAAAGAAAGACAACAAGCCUGAAAAGAAGAAGCUUGCUCUUCUGACCCUUUUGCGUGCUAUUCCUUUUAAAGUGGUGCAAACGGUCUCAAAGAACCGAAGUGGGACCUUUCUAGGAAGUAGGGUGGAUUUGUGACAACUUUCGUCACCGUCUUUCUAAGUGGUAUGGUACGCUAGGUAGUUGACGGGCAUUUAACUGCGGUCUGGUUUCAAAGACUGGACACCUAGAAGUAUACUACUGGAUUGAAGGCCUUUUGACGUUGGGAUGAUGACGAGUCUCUGCCUGCAGACUAACACUCUGGAGACUACGGGUCCCUACGGUGCAACCCCGCUUAGGUCGGAAGCCAUCCCAGCCCGGGCGAAUUGGGUCUUUGCAUUAACCUCAAAAGGAUAAAAAGCGCAUCAGGUAUAGGAAGGACUUCUUAUAGGAGCACAGGAGAACAACCUAUAUCAAGGAUGGUAGCUGACUAGCACUCACAAAAAGGCACUUAUGGGAUGAGUUCCUUGAUUGGCUAGUCAAGGGAUUCUCCGGAGAGCUAUUACUUAAGAUUAAAUAAGGAAUUUCCUAACCACGAAAGGUGGUAUGGUCCCAAUGAAAGUGUCUCUUAGCUGGUUUACAGGCUUCGGAAAAAAAGAAGAAAAUAACAACCCACUGUCAUAACUCCAAGAGUUAAUUGCCGUAACUGCUCAGGAUGUUAUUUGUCGAGUUGACUGGUUUUAGUUCAGACAGCUGAAACAGGAUCGUAAACCGCCCCCCUUCCGUGGGGGGUGGGGAUUCAGACCGAUGAGGGACGUAGGAAUUUUACUUAACUGUCCGGAAGGCUGAAAUUGCUUUCUCGGGAGCCUUUGGGAGGUCGGGGUAUUCCAUCCCAUGAUACUCAAGGAGCAAGGCGUCGUAUCCUAGGGGUUCUACUAAUACAUCGUAAAGCGGAUCCAGGUUUUGGGUUAUACCCCAGAAAGCACUAUAUCCCUGCUAAAAACAGACUCUGGAAGCGGUUUUUGCUAGGAUGAAUGCUACUUCUAUGUAUUUCCCAUCGCAUUUUCAUAAGGUUUCAUAUCCCCUCUUUUCUUCAUUUGGUGAAGGUUAAUAUGUGGCAUGAGCCCGCCACCCUCUCGAUUGAGAUCUAUUCCCCUCUUUGACUGGAAAUGCUUCAUUGACUGAUCCACUAAUCUACGACCACCCUUACCUCUCUUGUUAGGCGUGUCCCUUUCAUAUUAGGCGUGCUAUUAAUAACUGAGAUAUCCACUAACCUAUUAACUAAACUAGACCGCUUUUAGGAAGGAUUCCUGGACUGGACUGACUGACCUAAAGCAAGGAAGGCAAGGACGGACAGGAACAAGAAUAGGUUUGACUAAAGCAAGUCCAGUUCCGAAACGAAAGCGAGAUCGAUCGAUCCUUGCCCCGCCUACCCUGUCAUCAUAAUCAAAGUGGAAACGUGCAACAAAUUUAAGGCUAGGUCUGCCUUACCUUAAUAUUAAUAUAAAGUAAAGAUGAAAUGAAGUCAAAGUUCCUCGAUUUUCUAUUUUUAUGAAAGGAAAUCUUAAGAGUUAGCUAUAUCUAGCCGUGCUGGUGAAAGCCCUAAGUGCAGGUCAGGUUCCGGUUCCUGUGAAAGAGAAAGUUCCUAUCUUAAAAAAAGACGUCUAGUGAGUCUCAUCUUUCGCAAGUUGACGUGAGACUCGCAUUGAUCUACCAGACGUCGAUGAGCUUUUGGUAUCAGAUGCUUACGACUUGCCUAUGUGAUUGGCCGUGUGGAGUAGGCGUAAAGAACGAGUUGCUCCGGUAGUAGCAACUAAAUGAAAUGACUUUACGAAAUCUUCCUUCACGGGGCCUCUUCCUUUCCUAAAAUGCUGGAUCGGAUAUCGUCAAUCGAAUUUAAGUACGCACGCGAAGAGCGAUCCUUCUUAGCCCGUUCAUGAAGUCCUUUGUUGCCUAACAAAAAUCCAAAAUCCGAAUCGGAAAGAUCAGGUUCGAGAUGGCAAGUCCGGUUAGGGCAGGUCUUUUACUACCUAUAUUCCAACUACGAAGGACAGGCUCCUUUUUCCCUUUAUCCAUCCCUUUUUCAGAAAAUUAUCCCUCCCUCCUAGGGAAAGCUACUCGAUCUGCUAAGCAACCAAGCUACUCUAUCCAUCUAUCCAUAUUGGCUAGCCCUCUUCCUGAACUUCUCAGUUCAGAGAAAGAAAUCCGGUUCGGCUCCUCUUAGAGAUGGUGGGGAAGUAGCAAAAAACCAACAUGAAAUUCUACUAUGAGACCUCUCCCUCUGGUUCGAAAUUAUCCGCUUGAAGGGAAGGUUAUCCUACCUCACCGAGCAAGGGCAGCAAGGGAUGGCCCGCUAGUCCAGAUAGUUGUGGGAGGGGACUCCGGGUACAUCAGAGAUGAAUGCUUGUUUGUUACCGGCAGCUCUCUUUAAACAAAGAGUGAGGGCGCAUUUGCGGAAAAUGAGACUCGAUACAAUGGGCUGGCUAGCCUUUCUCUCCGGUUGACCGGGGCAGUAUCGACUCCAGCCGUUCCUCCAACGCUAGCAGGCAUUAGCCUGACUUCCCUCCUCACCAAGGUAAGGAAGAGAGCAUCGGGGACGGUUUUGUCUCAGCCGUGGUAAGGAACAACAAAACAAAAGAGAUGUUCUUCCGAAUGAGCGGAUUCAGCGGGGAAGAAAGCAGUACACCCUCUUCUUAAAAUAAGUUAGCCUCUAAAGGCUGACCCGUGAUGAUCCCUACAUCACGUAAUCGAAAAUUGGUGAAAUUCUGAAUACGGGUACGAGUUCAUCCAGAAGCGCUGGAAGGGCUGGAGGAAGGGGACGAACCGCAUCGAUUGAGUUAUAUCCGGCAGGGGAACCCCCACGUACCUAGAAAAGAAGGGGAAAGUCUUACCUUUUGGAAACAUAAGGUGCAUCAGAAAGGAUUCCGGAUAUAUUUUUAUAGCCAGAUUCACAAGCUGAGGACUAAGUCGAAGUGAAAGUCGGUGCCAUUGUUAGUGCCAAGACCCUAGAAUAGUGAACACCAAGUGAAGAGCCACCCUCCGGAACGUCGAGAAGGGGGAUGAACUGCUUUGAUUGGAUCCGAUCUGGUAGACAGAGACGAAGACAAGGAUGAAUAAUCUGAAGAAGGCUAUGCCGAAUUCGAGGGAAACUGUGAAGAAGAAGACUACGAAGAAGGAAGCCGAUGCCUAGGCCGAGGCUGGUGCCUAAUUCUAUGCUUGAAGCCUAAGCUAGAGCUGAAGCUGAAGCCUAAUUCUAAGUUUCAUCUAAAACUGAAGUUAGGGCUGGAGCCUGAGUUGGUGUUGAUGUCCUAGAGUAGCGAAACUACAAGUGAAGGGGCGCUAUCCGGAACCCUUAAGGUCGGGGACAAUCUGCUUCGAUUGGGCCUUGCAGGCAGACAGGCUAACUUGUGGAGACAAAAAGGAAUCCUAUAUAAGUGAGAAUGUCGAGUCCCGAGGGUCUGCAAGAGGCUGAGCUAACAAGCUGGCUGAAUAUAUCAUGGGGAUGCCCGAUUUGCGAUUGAGCUAGCUGAUAAGUAUGAUCUCUCCGAUCUGGCAUGAGCCACUCCAUUCCUACUUCCACUCAACAAAAAAGAUAGGAUUCUUGGGCCCUACCUCCAGAGUGGGAUAUGGAGGAGUGCGUGCGGCUAUUUCAGACCAAAGGGGGCCAAGGGGGAUCCCAUAAAUAUAAAUAAUAAGUAAGAAAGGGGAGCCACACCCGGGCUAUGAGCUAUUUCUUCUAACCAUCUUCUGUACCAGUUUUGAUCUUUUCUUCCAUAUCAGUCUGCUCGACUCAUUCUCUAUUUGCCAAUAGCUUAGCUUAUAAUCCAUAUCUCCUUUCUUUCGAGAAGGAUGAUCAGUUCCGUAAAUAUUGACCCCAAUUCAAGCGAUAGUAGCUUGCAUUCACCAAUCAUUCCCUCUUCAUCGCAACCGACGUCAAACAGAUUCACGGGACCUGUCGAAGAGCGGUUUUCAUGUAUAGAAUCUGAUCAUUGGAGAAAAAGCUGGAGAAGAAGGGCGCAUCAACUGCGUUAGGCUUUAUACUAAGAAGUGGGACACAUUUAAAAAAGCGUUGUCGCACCUUAACACUUUGUUUGCGGCAUUUCUUGGGUACGAGCGAGCUGCUUCCAUUGUUUGCCUCGCUAUCUAAGUGAGCGCUUUCGGGCAUAUGCUCCUACUGGGAUAUGGAUUGAAACCAGUACAACUCUCAGGCUGAGGAAACUUCCUACUUGCGCAUAUCCGCCCGCUCUGAGCGAGAAAACGAACACAUAUUGAUCAUUGACCUCUGCCAAGCCAAGCAUUAGUAGAGCAGUAAACCUGGCAUCUUAAGAUGUUUGAAAGGUUGGAGGAAUAAAUGCUAAUCUCAAAUGUCAUUUUCAUUUUCUGCGAGAUCAUCUUUGGGAAGACAGGGCACCAAUAUCUGAUAUGGAAAAUGCACUCUUCCACUAAUGUAAUGCCAGGGUGUUUCAACUCAUGGUAGGCUCGUCUCUCUGGCUAUAAGGGAAUGUUUAGAAUGUUAUAUGAGUCCCUUGUUGCCGCCUUGCUCAAGCAAUAAAGAGAUGAACUCGCAUGGGCUCAUGAGACCGGUUGUAGAGAGAGAGAUAUUUUGGAAGCCCGCCAAUUACAAUUAAGUGAGGCAAUCGAUCGGAACGCUAACGGCGAGGUGCCAACUCAAUAAUUGGUAAAUAGCCUACUAGAGCUAUGCAUCUAAGAAAAAGAAGUAGAGCACCUAGGCCAACAGAAACGAAGGAAGCAAGUGGGGCGAUCCCGGCAGAUGAGCCUGAGUUUGAAGCUUUCGAAAAGACAAUGUCCUAUGGUAUCGGCCAGGAGGCUCGUGAGUUGAUUCACGACUCGGUGAAUAAGAAAUAGAAUAAGUAGCUUCUGACUGGGGGUGAUUCAGAGUUUUGGAGGAAUUGAAAUAAUUUAGAUAAGUCGACCCUAUUCUAUUGGGUAAAAAGCUUUUAAGCAAGUAAGCGAGGAAAGUAGACUGAUGAUGUUCACCCGCGGGCCAGAUUCACAAUCAAGAUUCCUAGACGUAUCGUCCAGUUAUCCAAUUCAACAAGUUCAGAACACCCAAAAUAGCUAAAGCUGAGUGGCGAAUGGCCGGAUAUCUAAUCUCUGGGAGCAACCACCAUAUCUUUCCGCCGGAUCUACUCAAUUUGAGUAAUACCUCUUCCUAUUUUAGUAACAAGAGAAGGCCUUCCGCGCAUGAUCGAAUGGACUUUGAACCUAAUGUGUGUCUCAACUUCUAAUUGAGUGCUUGCACUGUCUUCGUUGGGGGUUUCGCUCCCUCUGCUUUGAGAAAGCAAAAACGAAGUGAUCUCGGCUUUUUCCUUUUUUGAAGUGGAGGAAAUCCUGUUCUUAUUCCCAGAAAUGGGUAACUCACGAACUAAAGAAUGAUUAUCGAACUAAAGAAUGAUUGUCUCUAUAUUCAAUAUAAAACUUUCUUUCUCAUCUUUGUAGAUCCCAGAGGAAUAAAUGGAGGAUUCCAAAACUGGAUUAGGAGACAUAGAUUCAAGCUUUGAGCGAGCGGUGCUUUCAUUAUGCGGUUCCUCUUUUAGUUAGCGAUUGUUCACCAAAAGAGAAUGCUUUCUUAGGUAGGCUCCAGGUGAGUUUCUACUGAGAUGUAAAACUGUGGGUAAUAGCGCAGUGCUUUCUAUGCUUAAUCGACGCCAGUAGUCUCACUUCCGAAAUGGGAUUUCGUCAGACUCGUAGGAUCAUCUGGAUGAAAGGGGGGCUCCCGCUUGUGUAUUGAAAGUAAUAUGUUCUCUCGUCCUCGGUUGGGUUUUUCACUCUUCGUUAGUGCCUUAAUCUAUUCUGUUUCGUUAGCUAGACUUUCCCCUAUCUGGCACCCAGGCAUACGGGACUAGAUCGCUCCGGAAAGCCUUUUCUCUAGCAAUAGCUACCCAUUUCCAGAAGGAAUUGCCAUUAGACUUUCGAGUGAUCGUACCAUAGUUUAUAGAGAAAUGUUUUUGAUUCAUGGAAGAACUGGGCUUAUCUAUGCGCCCUUUAGCUUAGCAGGAGUGCUUCUUUGUUGUGCCAUAGCGUAACGAAAAGGAACCCUUUUUCCUUUCAUCAUCACUUUAUGCUCGCUUUCUUAGGAAAGCUGAACCAAUCAUGUGACUGACUCGACAUAAUCUUUUGUUGAGCUAUCAUAGGGAAGACGGCGAGCUACAAAGAAAGAAGAAAGUCAUAAGCGCUUAACUCGAGGGUUAUUGUCACUUAACUUCGUCAAGACACUUUAAAGGCAGGCUUGACGAGCGCUACUCCACUACUGUUUCGCCUCCACUCAAUCAGCCACUUAGGUUUGGCGAAGUGAACAUGAACGCGUUAGUGACGUAGCAAAUUAGAAUAACCAAGCCGGUAGCCCUCCCUUCCGAGCCAGUCUCCUUUUACCUUCACUACACUACUAUAGAUACAUAACUUCUUCUUCACUCCUACCUGAAUUCCUUCUUCACUCCUAUAGAUAUAUCUAAUUUCUUUCUCGAAUUUGUAGGAAGUGGUGCAUCUUGUGGUUGAGCCAGGGCGUGGUCAAAGGGAAGGUUUGAUUGUCAAGACUUGACAUGCGACUCAAUGCUAUUGAUCCCUAUCAUCCGAACGAAUGUCUUGUAUUGGUUUGGAUCAUCCGAGCGAGAUCACAUCUUAUUCUAUGCAAUUCUGUUUGUCAUUGAUCUGCGUACACACCGCUUCCACAGGUACAUGCACCACACCCCUAUCUAUCAAGUGAGGGAAGGGUGAAAAGAACCCCCAGAAGGUAUGGAUUCGGAAGUCUAGUUGUGAUUCGAUGGAGUGAUGGUGCCUCGUAUGAGACAUCGAACGGAACCUGCUGCCCGUAGUGCUUUACUUGAACAUGGAUUUGCCUUGAGGUUGCUUGCAUACUACUAGACGUAAACGAGUUGCUUCGCUUCCAUCGAGUGACGUACUCUUGACUGGAGAGCUACCCGCAUUGCCUUCCCGACUUAGCCUUCGAAUCAAGCUUGCCGACUUGACUUAGCCUUCGCCUUUCACUUGUUCAUCAUAAGUCAUACUAAACCAGACAUCUUUCACAGGGAUCCACUGAUGAGUAUAAAGCGAAGCUAACCUUGAAAAGUUCCACAUCGUCCUCCUCAUUCAAAGAUUUAUUGUUCACUAUAGAUAGGUUGAACCACGAGCUGCUGCUGGAGUGAAAGGACCGAGGCCCAAUUCCAUAGGGAUUAGAAAGACUAUCGAACUGAAGUCAGCUAGCCCACUGAACUUAUCUUCUUCUUCUACCCACUAAACGGAUCCCGUGCUUGAGCAUAAUUACAUUAUCCCUUUCCCUAUUUCUUUCUAGUUGAGACUCUCUUUCUCACAGGCCGUAGAUUGUAGGACUGGAUUGCUCCUUGCUUCUUCAAUGGAUUGUGGGACGGUAGAGACAUUGUUUCAAGUCAAAAGAAGCUUUCUCAGUCAAUAGCCUUCUUUAACUCGGCUUUGACUUCCCCGACAGACGAAAGAGCUUUGCUUCAAGCGGAUGAUGUUUCCUAACCCACCUGAAUCUCUCAUUCCUUCCUCAAUCUUAAUUUAAUAAAUAAUGCGAGCUUUCUUUCUAUCGCCGAUACUACUGCGCAAACAGAACUGAAAGUGCAAGGAUGCUGUCGACCAACAUCUCCAUAUUUUAUUUUCCUUCUUUCUGCUUUUUUUGCUAUUUCUAUUUUUUAUGUGUGUCCUGCUUCGGCAAGGGGAAGGGAAUACAAUUGACAGUUACAGUAAGCAGCAUAGCCCCUCUGAAGCUCUCUUUCAGCCAUCUCCGGGCAAGAUUUCAGGUCUCUUGGAAUUCUAGUUAUCUAGAUUUAGUAGAGCUUAUAUAUGUGUGGAUUUGGAAAGCUUCUAUCUUGCUAUUGCUUAUGAUUCCGGGGCCCUGGCCAUUUAUUCGACUUAAAACCAUUUCUGUCUCCCUGCUAUUUUAUUCUCUUUUUACCUAAAAACUCUCCAUCCGACUUAUAUUGAAGCAGAUUCCAAGAUAUUGCACGCAACAUAAGCGUUGUGCCUUUCUUUGUAGACCUCCACAGGGCUUUCCGAAGCAGAGCAAAUAGUAGACAAUCCGUUAACGUCAGUGAGGCUGGGUCCCCUGAUUUUCUAACUGACAUCUUUCUUUACUUAAUUGACUCUUUCUAAAACUUAAAUCGCGACGUUAGCUCAGCGGGUGACGAAUCAGAGGGGUAAUCUCAUUUGAGACUCAGCGCUUGCCUCUCUUUCUUUGUAUAGUAUGUUCGUGUGUUUGGGCGAGUGGACUCCGUGUGGUUAGCUGAAGCAGACAAUUUUAGUAUCCUAGCAGCUACAGCAGCAGAGAAAAGUCUCUGUUCACGUAUUCGCCUUAGGUUUAGGCAGUUAGAUGCCGUCGAAUUUGAAUUCCCAUUCAAUGAAGGUUUGACGCAGCAGGCUUGAUUAGGUAAGAGAUUGAAAGGCGUAUUUCAAGCAAACCUGUUAGCGAUGUACUUCUAAUUAGAUCAGUUAAGCCAUCCGUAAAGGUCAAGCCCUGUCACUCGACUUGGGAGAAUCAUUCUUUUUCUCAAAUCUUCUUAUUCUCCUGGCCAGUUCCUCUCCGCGAACUAUUAGAUCUAUCUUAGCUUUUUUAUGAGAAUACUAUAGAGUUACGAAGUAACGUAAGAGCGAUUAAGCGUAAGAGCGUAGUUUACGUAGCGUAAGACCUUUUUCUUUGAAAAAGCGAUAGCUAGAGCGAGCGGAAUACUUGAAGCGAGUAUAUAAAGAACUAGAGUAGAAAAAGCGACUAGUUGGAGAGAGGGGAAGAGCUUCACUCAAUCCCUGCCUUUGCAUCUUUCUUCUCUGAGCCCGGUAUCAAAAUGCUUGACUAUCUCCCCGAAUGAGACAGAUUUCCUCUCUCUGCUCUGGAAUCAGGAAGGAGAAUGUCACUAUGGGAAAAUAGAAUGAGCAUGCGUCGGCCUAUGCUCAGGGUCACUCUUUUCAUAUCUCACGCCCGUUGGCCACUAAAGCGAAGUGAUCAGACGCCCGUUGGCCACUAAAGCGUAGUGAUCAGAAUAUUAAUCCAACAGCAAAUAUCAUCUCAUCUCACGCCCGUUGGCCUGAUGUUCGAAAAGAGCGGAUUUGUUCAAGCAAGCUAAUCAAAUUUCCCUUUCUAGGGUAGGGUUACGGUACGAUGUCAUUACUCUCUUUUGCUCUCUCACCCCUUGAAGAAGAGCGAACAGCUGAUCUUUCCUGGUCCUUUCGAACCAGUCUUUCUAAACUUGGAAAAAUACUUUGGCUACGAUUCGAUCUCGAAAGCCCAGACUUCAUAAAAGGCGACUGCCUCUUCCACUGCUACAUGAACCAUCCGCUUCUUUUCCGAUGCUGCUUCAAAUAAGUGAAUAGAUCUUUGUGAUUCGGUUCCUUUUCCUUGGUGUGGAAAGAUCUCUGCCAUAAAACAAAAACAGAGAGCUCGUAGGCCUUGACCUUAUUGUAUAGUAUAGAAUAGAGGGAGGCAUUUUGGGCCGACUACUACGACUACAUGCGCAUCUAGUGCAGUGGCUUGGAAUAAAAACCUUGACCAUCUUCCGAAGUUCUAAAUAAUCUACUGAUCAAAGGCUGUAGGGGCGGACUGCUCUACAUUCAGCCACGCCACAGUGACCCCCGAAGCGAUCUUCUUCUAGUUGCGGGGCGAAAUCCGGCAUCCAAUUACUGGCUCUGAAUAACCGGCCCAGCAAUAAGUUAAGUUAAAUUCUUCCAUAACAUAACGGGGCGGGGUUGCGCGCGAGCCGAGUGACGUAGGUGCACAAGAGUACUUCGCGCCACAACCAUCUCUUUUUUAUAGGUUCUACGGACCGAUGCCUGCUGCUUCAUCUGGGAGAAAAGAAUCAUAGAUAUGCCGGUCAUUAGAAGGAAGAAUCGCCAUAAAAAGAUUCCUCGUGUAUCAUCUGUAGCAAAACUAUGAACGGGAGCUAGCAAUCCGGACCGUAUUGAAAAGGUUCCUGAGACACAGCAUGGAAGAGUCACAAUAUUAAGAAACGAGGUCCAAGAAUGAAGAAGGGGUAGAAUUACUGAAUGAAUACGAGCUGUGGCUAAUACCCGAGGCAUAAAAGAAGCAUUUUCUACGGGAUCCCGAAACCACCAGCCACCCCGACCUAAUUCAUGAUAAGCCCACCAACUUCCUGGCAAGAUGCCUACGGUUAAAAACCACCAACAUGUCAAGAUCCAAAUUCGAAUUGGUUCCUGGUCCUGGUCAGGGACCACUGUGUUCGCGCCGGCGGUCCAACAAAGAGGCGAAGUAGUGGUAUCUUUCUUUCCAUUACGAACGACACGCUUCGCCUGCGCCCUCCCCGUGUUCACUAGCGCUCCUGUGCAGAGCGAAGAGAAGGCGAAAAAGCACCGCCGAAGCAGCAUGGGCGGGCUUCUAUUGCUACGUAACAAUAGAGCAGGAUAGCAUUUAGCGCCCACAUGUUUGGUAAGAAGCUCGCUUGUUAUACGGGAUCCGACGCAUCCAGCAGAGCGAAGCAGCGUUCCAUUCUUUUCGGCGGCAUCCUUUCGCAUUGGCGGCGAGUGGAGUGCCACAAUCCCAUUCAUCAUUUUGGAUCUACAUAAGCCAAAGCCCAUAGCACUGGCGACGUCUCCGGCAUAAAUGCAAGGAGGAUGUAUAGCUGAUAUAGGAUCUUGUGGAACAGGAUUUGAUUCUGCAAGCGGUUCGGUACGAACGAAGAAAUUUCGAACAAAAGGAUCGGAACUCGCUGAUAGGAAAGGAGAGAAAAACAAAGCAAUGCCAAGAACUCCGUCAAUCCGCUGUUCAUCGAUAGACGAAGCUCUCUCUUUAUCAUCUCGUGCCAGAUGCAACAAAGGAUGAGUUCUUUUUCCUUCUCGCGAACCACGGGAGCGCCUAGCGCCCAGAGGACUAUGGAUUUUCCUUUCAGGGUAAAGCGGCGCAUAAAAAAGGGUUGGUCCGUCAAAAGCAAAAGUCCGGCUCCUUCGCGAACGAAGUUCAGAAUCAACAAGGGUUCGUAGAACGAAGGGAGUGUACAACUGGAAAAACCCACUUUUUUGUUCGUAACGAGGGAGAGAUAGAAUGGAGUUCUUCACGAAGUUCGAGACAAAAAAAAAAAAAAGUUUCUCUAUGGCCUCCUCGUUUUGAGACAUUAUGGCUUUGGGGUCGACCCCGGUAACAAAGAAGGAAUCCAUAAAAAUUGGGGAUCCAACACCAUGAUAAAAUACUACCCUCAUGAUUAGACCAUGUCCCUGAGAUUUGAUAAAAGAAAGGUGCAUUAGCGGUUAAUACGUUGUAAUUGGAUAAGUUAUUAGGAAUAUGACGGAACGAAAGACCAAGGAAAGAAAGAAGAAUGCACCAAAAUGCAGGUGCUGCACCAAACGCUGGUGGUUGUUUCUUGUUGUAAGUGAAUGCAAGGAAAAGACCCGGAAAUAACGAAUAAUGAAACAAUUCAUAUAUUGACAUUUCGUGCUCAUUUCCAAAUUUCUGCUUUUUUAUUCCCAUCAUCCGGUAACCACAGGAUGAUCCACAAGAAAGGUGGCAGGAUUCGAACCUAUGGCCGGCCCGACCCUGACCUGCUGAGUUGGGUGGCCGGGUUAGCACCCCUCGUCGCCUCUGUACCCGAAACAGAUGCGCUGCGCUACCCAGCGCUACACCUUGUCUCCCCUACCCCUCUUCUGGUUAUGCCAUUACCAAUCCAGGUAACCCCCGGACCGGCCGCCCCAGACCUAAUAAGAACGAUUAUCCUUAUGACCAAACAAGGACCAGCUUACUUACUUCUCAAGCGAUAGUUCCACGAUCCCGACCAGCAACUUGUUGUGAGUAGGGGCAUCCAAGCUUGCCCAACCUAGUAAAGGGGCUUGGAGAUAGAGGGGAUGAAAUCUAACCUUUGCAUCGAUGUUUAGCAGGGUGGGUCGCUUGAGUGUCAAAACCAAGCGGUGGUUGUUUGUUUUUCCUUGGCUUAUCGAACCAGCGUAUGCCUAUUCCUCCUUUGAUGACUCCCAGUAGAGAAAGCCUAAAUUUGCCGAUGUGGAUUGAAAGGAAGUUGUGGAUGAACAUAGAUCCUUCCACCUAUCCGGAGUGUUGGAAAGAAAGCAAUGGUUUUUGUAUUUAUUAUUUCCCGAUCACUGGAAGCAAUCUUCAUUAGCACAAGGAUCCCCUCACAGCAACCUCCACUACAAUAGAACCCGACAAUGAGUUUACGAAGGCUUCGAGUAGUGCGAGAUAGGCUAAUCACCAGACUACUCUGGAAUAGGUUAAUCGCCGGAGACAAGAACGAGUUAAUCUAGUUUCGAGAACAUGCCUUACUAUACUAUAGGGCGUAGAGUUUCUAAGUGAAGGCAAGCGCAACUAUAAUUAUCUAUUUCAUAUCCUCCCUGUCAGCGGGGCAGGUCCGCUAUAAAGCCUACCGGCCAGAAAGUCCUCAAGAACGGGAAAGCCGAUCAAAAGACUAUUCCAUAACCGACUCUUGUUGCCGAAUCGAGGGGGCUUGGCUUGUACCAGGCUCUAAAAGAGUUUUCUUCGAGUGAGCAGUCUUUCUAUCCUUUUUUUGGGGUUGCAUGCCUAAGGCAAUGUUUUUCGUUUUUGUAGAUUGAGAUGGAUUGAUCUUCGCUAUCGUGCCUCUUCCUUGUACCAGUGGAUGCUGCGGCAGUGCCUAAUAUGAGUUUGCUCCUGCCUCCUGCCUCAGACAGCUUCGAGUUUCCCAUCGAUCGAUUACAGAGGUUUCCACCACUGAACUUGCUUAUGCUCCCCUUUGAUCGAGUGCUAUUUCUAUAAAUAUAAAAAAGAUUGAGUAGGAAAAACUGGAAUUGGCUUUAAUCGAGAUUGCCUCGGUUUCUUAGGCACAUGAGGAAGCGGAAGCGGUCUAACAUCUUUUCAAUCGAAAUCCCAAUCAAAGACAAGUUCUACCAAGGCCAGGAUCUGAAAGAGAAGAUUCACUUUACGGAAUUCCAAGUGACAUGAUUCCUUCAGAAGCUAAAGUGGAAUGAUCGAAGUCUCCUUCAGGUUCAGUCGAAGAGAUCGAACGAAGCCUUUUUUUACCAUGAACCUGCCACCUCAACUCUUGCAAUGGAGAAUGAGGACUUUCCAUUUAUCUGAUUCUUCCCAGCGGGAAAACAUAGCUCCCUCGGGAUUUCGAUCUCCAUGCCCUGUAGGGAAAGGCUUAACUAUGACUCAUGUAGGUUAAGAGGCUAUCCCUACAAAAAGAAAAUGUCUAUCGCUUCAUCCGUUCAGAACGUCGACCUCGCUCCGAGCAAGCAUCGAAGGAAUUCCGGGUAGGACUCAAGGAAUUGAACCCAGAUAGGAUAGAUACAGCCUGUUACCUUCCGAUCCAAUUACCGAAGGGUAACUAGGCCGAGUAAGAAGACACUUUGGGAUGAUUUGCAUUUGCCGCUGGCCGAGUUAGUCACGAAGUUGAGAUCCACCUAUUUAUUAUAUAGGGUAGGGUGACCCGCCUGGAUAGCACUGUUGAUCCCGACCUCAGAUAAUAUUGGUGACGACUUGGCGGCUCUUUCUCCCGAAUCUGAUUGAUAUCGAAUCAACUAUCGAAAAUGAACUAAACUAUAAGCAUAGGCGGGCACCUGACCUGCCAAACGUAUUGUAUUAUUCUCCCUGCCAAGUUUACUACCCGCUAACGGAUCCGAUAAGAGACUCCAAUAGCUAGAGUACUCUUCGCUACCGGUACCGAAAAAUAAGGCAGGAAGGGCUUUCAUUCAUAACGAGUAAGUGCCCCGGCAGUCUCUCAUUCAGACAUUGGAAAAAACACUUUCUUCUAAGAUGGUGACGGCGCAAGCAAAUACAUUCUCCGUGCCUUUAACCCUACGCAGAAGAUACUUAUGGUCACUGCUAACCCUGGUAAGGAUGUAUUGUAUCAUGAGAAGGUAAUUGUGCCAAGUAUGGGCUCACGCUCUUCGCAGUCCUCGAUAGGAAGGGAAAAAUCCCCAAAUUGCCACAGACAAUGCGUCAUUGGAGAGGAUGAAAUGGUUUAGGCUCGCGAUAGGGAGCUCCCGGACGCAUACGCAUAAAGGCAUCCAUAUCGGCUUGCGCUCUUCUCUUACUUGAAGCGGCAUGACAGAGUCACUUAGCUCGACGUUAGGAGAGUCAAGGAGGAAAGGAAAGGAUUUCAGGCUCAGUGAAUGCCUCUAUAACGUUGUCAUGAAUUAUACCUGAAUGUGUAUACACGGAAACCCGAGGUCUCUCAUGGGGCAUUCAAGCGCCUCUUUAAGCAUAUUGGCAAACUCUGGUGAGCAGCAAUUGAACUGAACGUUCCAAGUGCAUCCAGCAGGAAUCGAACCUACGAAUUUGCCUCUUUAUUAGGUUGGUAUAGGUUGGGCGCUUUAACCAUUCAGCCAUGGAUGCAAAGAGACUCAGCGAGUGAACUAGGUUUUGGUAUUCCUUCUCGAGCUUCGAUUUCUUCCGUUAAAGGAGAUUCGAGAAAAGAUGGAAUAGGAAGACGUGUUUCCAGAACAAAGAAGAUACGGGUUGAAAAGGGGGAGUUAGCAAAGUUAGACAAGAUUGGAAUGAGCAUAGGAACGUGUAUUGAUGUACCAGAUCGGCUAAUGCUCCCAGGUUGAUGCGAUGUAUUCCACCAGUUGACUGAAGACUUGAUUAUUGGUAUAUCGAUCGGUCCAGCACGAAUUGAAAUAGAAGCUGGUUCGACAGGAAGCUUUUGAAAACGCAGUGCACCCAGGUAAAUAAGGAACGAGAUGAAUACAGAGGUUAAACGAGCAUCCCACACCCAAAAGGUGCCCCACAUAGGUCUUCCCCGAAACCCCCUAGUAACUAAGGUAAACAACGUAAAAAAAGCACCCAUUUCUAUACCGGUUCCGAAAGAGCGAAGAAAAAGGGGAUGCUUUGUUAAUAGGAACAAGAAAGUGUUUAUAGCCGUAGCGAUAUAAACAAGAAUACUCAUCCGAGCCGCAGGAACAUGUACAUACAGAAUACGAGAAUUUCCACCUUGUUGAAAAUCUAGUGGUGCUACCCGAAGACUUAAAUGAAUAGCCAUCGCUGUUAAGAACAACCAAGAUCCAAUGAUAAUUUUCGCAUAGCUUCUGGUCUUUGACAUAAAAAAAGAAGGUUGUAAUAACGAAACUGACAUGUGAGAAUUUGGUCCUAGCUAGUGGAACAAGAAAGACAUGGAUCUAUAUUCAAUACGCAAUCAAAGGAUUUCCCCCAACGAAGAAUUCUCCCUGCUUUGCUUUGUUUUCGCUCCGCUCGUGCGUGGCACUCCUUGCUCGCGGAGCGGCAUACCGAAAAAAGAAAGGUUUUGGAAGAAAAAAAAGUAAAUUGCCCAAUGUUUCUAUUAAGUCAAUUAAAUUCCAUCCAGCUCGAGUUCCUUAUUAUAUAACGCUUCCAUCAGUCUCUGAUAAGGAAGGCUACGGUGCGUCCCAUGGUUCUCCAUUAUAUUCAUGUGUUUAGUGUAAGUUUGUAAUGAUAAUGCCUUACCAUUAGGGUAGAAGAGGAUGCCCCUUAUCUGGUGCCUUUUAUACAUGAGGGAAUCCUCGGAAAACCUGUCCGAACGAAGUGCUUUCUCUAUCUUUAGUUCCAUCAGGAAUUGGGUUUCCAAAAUGGACUCGCGAACUUCGUCAGAUAAAGAACGUCCUAGACUGUUAAUACCAAGACGAUCGUUGAGUUCUUGGCGCCUCUGUCCGCCCUCCAGUAACGGGUGAUAAACCUCCGCAAUAGGCGCUGCGGGUUCACCAGGAUUGGGAGAGGUCGGGUCCGGUUGGUUUACGCUGGUCUCGGAAUUACCAGUGGAACUGCUUCCAAAUAAAUCGGUCCACCUGAAGCCCCUUCCUCCAGCGCCCUCACCUGAUCCUGAGCCAGAGGCCCCCGAAGGAGCCAUCAUGUUACACGAAAUGUUACACGAUUCUGAAAUGAAUAAUUUCAGAGACCAUGCAACGGCCAAGGCUAGCCCACCUGAGAAGCCCAUCUUGAUCAAUAAAGACGAGAUGGUGCGGCUUCCCGCGGCUAUGAAUGCCUUAGAAAGGAAAAACGGAAAUAGUUCCAUUUUGCCAAGAAGCAUAAAGAUGGAAGAAGAUAGAGUGAUAAAGGCAACGAGGAGCAGACACGGGUAGAAUUUUCCACUAUAGAAACAACGGACCUUAUUUGUCAUAAAAUUGAGAUGAAAACAAUGAAACCUUUUUGAAAACCGCUUUUUCAUCUCUUUUUACUUACCAGUUUUUCAGUCUUUUUCGCCACAUAGGAGCUUUGGGAAUUGAACCCAAGACAGACCCUUGCCCCUUUCUCGUACUUCGUACUUUUUGCUUUUGUUCACAUACGCUUUUUUUGUGGGGCGGUGACUGAAACAUUUCCUUUAUGUUGAUAGAAACAACAAGAGAAAGGCCAUUCACUGAACACCAAGCCAAUCUCGAUGAAAGUCAAAGCAGCCUUCGGACCCUGACGUGAACGGACGCUUUGUCAUUAGAGUGUGUUAAAAAAAACGAGAAAGCUUUUUUCUUUUUUUUGUUUACUCAACCCGUAAAGACAAACAAAAAAGGGAUCCGCCUCGAAUCAAAACGUUCUUUCUUUUC
rnacentral:lncRNA from 1 species